AGAGUUUGAUCCUGGCUCAGAGCGAACGCUGGCGGCAGGCUUAACACAUGCAAGUCGAGCGGGCACUUCGGUGUCAGCGGCAGACGGGUGAGUAACACGUGGGAACGUACCCUUUGGUUCGGAACAACUCUGGGAAACUGGAGCUAAUACCGGAUACGCCCUUUUGGGGAAAGGCUUGCUGCCGAAGGAUCGGCCCGCGUCUGAUUAGCUAGUUGGUGGGGUAAUGGCCUACCAAGGCGACGAUCAGUAGCUGGUCUGAGAGGAUGAUCAGCCACACUGGGACUGAGACACGGCCCAGACUCCUACGGGAGGCAGCAGUGGGGAAUAUUGGACAAUGGGCGCAAGCCUGAUCCAGCCAUGCCGCGUGAGUGAUGAAGGCCUUAGGGUUGUAAAGCUCUUUUGUCCGGGACGAUAAUGACGGUACCGGAAGAAUAAGCCCCGGCUAACUUCGUGCCAGCAGCCGCGGUAAUACGAAGGGGGCUAGCGUUGCUCGGAAUCACUGGGCGUAAAGGGCGCGUAGGCGGCCAUUCAAGUCGGGGGUGAAAGCCUGUGGCUCAACCACAGAAUUGCCUUCGAUACUGUUUGGCUUGAGACCGGAAGAGGUAAGUGGAACUGCGAGUGUAGAGGUGAAAUUCGUAGAUAUUCGCAAGAACACCAGUGGCGAAGGCGGCUUACUGGUCCGGUUCUGNNGCUGAGNNNCGAAAGCGUGGGGAGCAAACAGGAUUAGAUACCCUAGUAGUCC
rnacentral:rRNA from 1 species